UUUAAUUUCGAGUUCUACUUACACCCAUCAGUGCCUACAGAGUUCAGUAUACACAGCCAUGUCGGAGAAAUAACACACAGGAAAUUGCUUUCUGAACAAUACAAAAAAAGCCAAAUUUAGUUUUAAGAAUAAAGUGAUAAAUAACAUUUUUGAAAAACACUUUCUUAAUAAACAAAACCCAACAAACAACAUCUCUCGUGUGUACACCAUCACAGGAGCUUCUAUACAAAUGCUUACUAAAAGGACAUAAAAGGAGAUUGUACAAAAAACCCGGUUAAACCAUGCCCAGGACUUGCUGACUGAAUGUGAUUGAUACUUUGUUCUGGCUUGAGAACGUAUACUUCAAAUUCCCUGUUAAACACUUAAACCGAAUGGCAAACAAGUUGAGUGGAGGAUCAACCGUAUCAUGCAGUGCAGUUCAGUUCUCAAUCAAUUAUCGACUGGACAAAUGAUGGCAAGCACUUGAAAGUUCGAAAAUAGAUGUCCAACAAGGAGGAUACUGGAGUCAGCUACUGAACUGCACCACCAAAACUAAAACCAUCCCACCACUCUAUUGGAUCUUGUCCCUGCUCUUCGUGUCCGGCACUAUUAUUUGUUAACACAAAGACACUAACAAAAAUACACUUGGCAAAAAAGAAAA